CUUUCUUUGCUGGCGACCGGCGCACGGGUGAGUAACACGUAUCCAACCUGCCCUUUACUCGGGGAUAGCCUUUCGAAAGAAAGAUUAAUACCCGAUAGCAUAAUGAUUCCGCAUGGUUUCAUUAUUAAAGGAUUCCGGUAAAGGAUGGGGAUGCGUUCCAUUAGGUUGUUGGUGAGGUAACGGCUCACCAAGCCUUCGAUGGAUAGGGGUUCUGAGAGGAAGGUCCCCCACAUUGGAACUGAGACACGGUCCAA
rnacentral:rRNA from 2 species